GCUGGGAUAGCUUAGUCAUUAGAGCAUGAGACUCUUAAUCUCUGGGUCAUGGGUUUGAGCACCAAGGUGGGCA